UUUUGUUUCUUAGGCAGAAGCAGUUUCGAACGUCUUCUGUUCUAUUUAAAAUCUAAAAUCCUUGCAGCUUUGUGAUCCAUGUUGGUUGAGUUUAAGAUGGAUGCUCUCUCUUUGUGAAGGGAAUGUGUCUGAAACAACGAAUAAUGAUUUUAGACCCUAUUCAUCUUGGAUCAAAUUGAGCGAGUUUUUAGUUAGUUCUGCGUACAUACCCAAGGGUUUAAAGCAUUUCCAGUUAUUAUUAUUUUAGCCUUGGCUUUUUUUUUCUUUGUAUAGAAAAUCAGGCGAAAUUUAGUGGAAUUUGGCUGGCAAUAGGUGGGAAGCCGAUGCUAUUACCUCAGAACUCCCUCUUCCGGGGAUAUUUCAACUAGUUUUGAACGUUAUUAGUUAUCUUAAUUGAUAAAUGAUGCACAUAAAGCGUCCCCGGCGCUUUCUGUGCUCAUUAUGUUUUAUAUCUCAGGGAUUUUAAUGCAUUUUUUCGUGCCUCCCUACCAGAGAGAGGUUCAGAAGAUGCCUUGGCAUUAGUAUUAAAGGGACGAAUCAAGGAGGAAGGAAUUACCCUGGGAUUGCAAAGGGCUCAUCACACGUGAAGUGCUUUCUGAUUGGCCAACGUAUUGUGCUCUGGAUUACUUCAAACAACUUUCAAUAAGAAAAGUGGCCAUGUUUACGGGCCUUAACUUUGACAUACAA